rnacentral:rRNA from 1 species
UGAUUCCGGGAGUAGUGGCGAGCGAAACCGGAUGAGGCCAAACCGUAUGCGUGUGAUACCCGGCAGGGGUUGCGCAUGCGGGGUUGUGGGAAUGAGCUUGAUCGGUCUGCCGGCCGGUCGGCGAGUCAGAAACCGUUGAUGUAGUCGAAGGACAUGCGAAAGGUCCGGCGUAGAGGGUAAGACCCCCGUAGACGAAACAUCAGCGGCUUGCUUGCUCA